UGCGAAGAAGCUUGCCAGGCA
rnacentral:piRNA from 1 species